rnacentral:rRNA from 1 species
AUUGAACGCUGGCGGCAGGCCUAACACAUGCAAGUCGAACGGUAGCACAGGAGAGCUUGCUCUCUGGGUGACGAGUGGCGGACGGGUGAGUAAGGCAUGGGGAGCUGCCCAAUCGAGGGGGAUACCAGCUGGAAACGGCUGCUAAUACCGCAUACGCCCUGAGGGGGGAAAGGUGGGGACCUUCGGGCCUACCGCGAUUGGAUGCACCCAUGUGGGAUUAGCUAGUUGGUGAGGUAACGGCUCACCAAGGCGACGAUCUCUAGCUGGUCUGAGAGGAUGACCAGCCACACUGGAACUGAGACACGGUCCAGACUCCUACGGGAGGCAGCAGUGGGGAAUAUUGCACAAUGGGGGAAACCCUGAUGCAGCCACGCCGCGUGUGUGAAGAAGGCCUUCGGGUUGUAAAGCACUUUCAGUGGGGAGGAAGGGGCGAUGACCAAUAUUCAUCGUCAUUGACGUUACCCACAGAAGAAGCACCGGCUAACUCCGUGCCAGCAGCAGCCGCGGUAA